CUCAGGUGGAGACACAAGUUUCUUUGCCAGUCUCCUAACUAUUUUGGGGGAUAUCUCUGCUGGUCUCCCCACUGUCUCUGCCAGUCUCUCCACCAUCUCUGGGAAGAUCUCUGCCAGUCUCCCCACUGUGUUCACAAGUCUCCCUACCAUCUCUGUUGCUCUCCCCACUGUCUCUGCCAGUCUCCCUACCGUCUCUAGGGAGAUCUCUGACGGUCUCUGCACUAUCUUUGUGUUUCUCACCAGGUUCUUCAACUUCUGGGCGUUUUCUCAUUAGUCCUCAGACUUCAGAUACGACCAUUUCUGAGAGCACUGCGGUAACAGUCUCGGCUCCACCAGGACCUGUCUCCCUCACAGCAGCCCCUGGAACUGCUCCCACUGUGCCUGGCCUUCCACACCCAGCCUGGCUAUCUCCAGAGGUUCUACUUCCAUAAUAGCUGGAGUGGCCACCACGUGCUCUGAGCUCAGCCUCCAGACCAGAGAAGAGUUCCAUCCCAGACUGGGCCAUCCUACUGAUCACUCUCACUGUGAUGACAGCAAUGGUCAGCCUACCGCAUGGUGUCAAGAAGGUGAGUGAAGCUGUGGCCCAAAUGUGUGGGUCCCAAAG
rnacentral:lncRNA from 1 species